UGUAUAAUGGGUCAGCGACUUAUAUUCUGUAGCAAGGUUAACCGAAUAGGGGAGCCGAAGGGAAACCGAGUCUUAACUGGGCGUUAAGUUGCAGGGUAUAGACCCGAAACCCGGUGAUCUAGCCAUGGGCAGGUUGAAGGUUGGGUAACACUAACUGGAGGACCGAACCGACUAAUGUUGAAAAAUUAGCGGAUGACUUGUGGCUGGGGGUGAAAGGCCAAUCAAACCGGGAGAUAGCUGGUUCUCCCCGAAAGCUAUUUAGGUAGCGCCUCGUGAAUUCAUCUCCGGGGGUAGAGCACUGUUUCGGCAAGGGGGUCAUCCCGACUUACCAACCCGAUGCAAACUGCGAAUACCGGAGAAUGUUAUCACGGGAGACACACGGCGGGUGCUAACGUCCGUCGUGAAGAGGGAAACAACCCAGACCGCCAGCUAAGGUCCCAAAGUCAUGGUUAAGUGGGAAACGAUGUGGGAAGGCCCAGACAGCCAGGAUGUUGGCUUAGAAGCAGCCAUCAUUUAAAGAAAGCGUAAUAGCUCACUGGUCGAGUCGGCCUGCGCGGAAGAUGUAACGGGGCUAAACCAUGCACCGAAGCUGCGGCAGCGACACUAUGUGUUGUUGGGUAGGGGAGCGUUCUGUAAGCCUGUGAAGGUGUACUGUGAGGUAUGCUGGAGGUAUCAGAAGUGCGAAUGCUGACAUAAGUAACGAUAAAGCGGGUGAAAAGCCCGCUCGCCGGAAGACCAAGGGUUCCUGUCCAACGUUAAUCGGGGCAGGGUGAGUCGACCCCUAAGGCGAGGCCGAAAGGCGUAGUCGAUGGGAAACAGGUUAAUAUUCCUGUACUUGGUGUUACUGCGAAGGGGGGACGGAGAAGGCUAUGUUGGCCGGGCGACGGUUGUCCCGGUUUAAGCGUGUAGGCUGGUUUUCCAGGCAAAUCCGGAAAAUCAAGGCUGAGGCGUGAUGACGAGGCACUACGGUGCUGAAGCGACAAAUGCCCUGCUUCCAGGAAAAGCCUCUAAGCAUCAGGUAACAUCAAAUCGUACCCCAAACCGACACAGGUGGUCAGGUAGAGAAUACCAAGGCGCUUGAGAGAACUCGGGUGAAGGAACUAGGCAAAAUGGUGCCGUAACUUCGGGAGAAGGCACGCUGAUAUGUAGGUGAAGCGACUUGCUCGUGGAGCUGAAAUCAGUCGAAGAUACCAGCUGGCUGCAACUGUUUAUUAAAAACACAGCACUGUGCAAACACGAAAGUGGACGUAUACGGUGUGACGCCUGCCCGGUGCCGGAAGGUUAAUUGAUGGGGUUAGCGGUAACGCGAAGCUCUUGAUCGAAGCCCCGGUAAACGGCGGCCGUAACUAUAACGGUCCUAAGGUAGCGAAAUUCCUUGUCGGGUAAGUUCCGACCUGCACGAAUGGCGUAAUGAUGGCCAGGCUGUCUCCACCCGAGACUCAGUGAAAUUGAACUCGCUGUGAAGAUGCAGUGUACCCGCGGCAAGACGGAAAGACCCCGUGAACCUUUACUAUAGCUUGACACUGAACAUUGAGCCUUGAUGUGUAGGAUAGGUGGGAGGCUUUGAAGUGUGGACGCCAGUCUGCAUGGAGCCGACCUUGAAAUACCACCCUUUAAUGUUUGAUGUUCUAACGUGGGCCCCUUACCGGGGUUGCGGACAGUGUCUGGUGGGUAGUUUGACUGGGGCGGUCUCCUCCUAAAGAGUAACGGAGGAGCACGAAGGUUGGCUAAUCCUGGUCGGACAUCAGGAGGUUAGUGCAAUGGCAUAAGCCAGCUUGACUGCGAGCGUGACGGCGCGAGCAGGUGCGAAAGCAGGUCAUAGUGAUCCGGUGGUUCUGAAUGGAAGGGCCAUCGCUCAACGGAUAAAAGGUACUCCGGGGAUAACAGGCUGAUACCGCCCAAGAGUUCAUAUCGACGGCGGUGUUUGGCACCUCGAUGUCGGCUCAUCACAUCCUGGGGCUGAAGUAGGUCCCAAGGGUAUGGCUGUUCGCCAUUUAAAGUGGUACGCGAGCUGGGUUUAGAACGUCGUGAGACAGUUCGGUCCCUAUCUGCCGUGGGCGCUGGAGAACUGAGGGGGGCUGCUCCUAGUACGAGAGGACCGGAGUGGACGCAUCACUGGUGUUCGGGUUGUCAUGCCAAUGGCACUGCCCGGUAGCUAAAUGCGGAAGAGAUAAGUGCUGAAAGCAUCUAAGCACGAAACUUGCCCCGAGAUGAGUUCUCCCUGACUCCUUGAGAGUCCUGAAGGAACGUUGAAGACGACGACGUUGAUAGGCCGGGUGUGUAAGCGCAGCGAUGCGUUGAGCUAACCGGUACUAAUGAACCGUGAGGCUUAACCUUACAACGCCGAAG
rnacentral:rRNA from 1 species